rnacentral:rRNA from 1 species
AGCGCAUGGGCGGACAAUGUGCCGAGAAAAGCUGCUGGUUGUUCCCCGGAGCGCCCGUACCGCAAACCGACACAGGUGGGUGAGUCGAGUAGACUAAGGCGCGCGAGAGAAACCUUUCUAAGGAACUCGCAAAAUAGCCCCGUAACUUCGGGAGAAGGGGUGCCCAACGCAAGUUGGGUCUCAGUAAAUUGGGUUUAGCGACUGUUUAACAAAAACACAGCACUCUGCCAAGUCGUGAAGACGACGUAUAGGGUGUGACACGUGACCAAUGCGGAAAGAUCAAGGUGAGUUGUUAGCCGCAAGGCGAAGCUCCGAGCCUAAGUCCCCGUGAAUGUCGGCCGUAACUAUAACGGUCCUAAGGUAGCGAAAUUCCUUGUCGGGUAAGUUCCGACCUGCACGAAUCGUGUAACGACUGAACCGCUGUCUCGGAGAGGAUCUCGGCGAAAUUGUAACUGCGGUGAAGAUGCCGCAUGCCCGCAGUAGGACGGAAAGACCCUAUGCACCUUUACUGUAAGCUGAUAUUGUGUUCUGGUUCAUGAUGCGUAGCGUAGGUGGGAGGCGUUGAUGCCACGGUUUAGGCCGUGGUGGAGCUGAAAUGUGAAACACCACUCUUUGUGAAUUAGGAUUUUAACCUCCGCCUGUUAGCCAGGGGAGGGACAGUGUCUGCGGGUCAGUUUGGCUGGGGCGGCUUCCUCCCAAAAAGUAACGGAGGAGCGCGAAGCUGGGCUCAACAUGGUUUGCAACCAUGUGUCGAGCGUAUGGGUAUAAGCCCGGUUAACUGCAAGACCUACAAGUCGAGCAGAUGCGAAAGCAGGCCCAAAUGAUCCGACGGUGGAAUGUGGAAUUGCCGUCGCUCAACGGACAAAAGGUACGCUAGGGAUAACAGGCUGAUCGAUUCCAAGAGUUCAUAUCGACGAAUCGGUUUGGCACCUCGAUGUCGGCUCAUCGCAUCCUGGGGCUGGAGAAGGUCCCAAGGGUCCGGCUGUUCGCCGGUUAAAGCGGUACGCGAGCUGGGUUCAGAACGUCGUGAGACAGUUCGGUCCUUAUCCACUGUGGGCGCAGGAAACUUGAGGGGUUCAUUCCCUAGUACGAGAGGACCGGGAAUGACGCGCUUCUGGUGUGGCAAUUGUAUCGUCAGAUGCAUCGUUGCGUAGCCAUGCGCGGAAGAGAUAAGCGCUGAAAGCAUCUAAGCGCCAAGCUCCUCCCAAGAUAUGGUUUCCCUGUCGCAAGACACUAAAGGCCCCCGGAAGACCACCGGGUUGAUAGGUUGGGCGUGCACAACAAGCAAUUGUUUUAGCGGACCAAUACUAAUCGGCCGUGAGGCUUGAUCGC